rnacentral:misc_RNA from 1 species
AUUCGAUCUUUCCAGAGCAGACAAAACGAUCCACAUCAGCUGCAAGUUACGUGUCUCUACAGUAAAUGAACACGUGUCAUAAUUGGAAUCACUCCCGCAUUGCCGAGUUGUAUCGACACCGGUGACUGGUAGAUGGGGUUAAGCCGAAUUUUACAAAUUCAAAAUAAAUUCCUUAAAAAUCGCUUUUCACACCCUGUCCGCCAAUCGCCUUCUAAAA